UAAGGGCGCACGGUGGAUGCCUUGGCACUAGAAGCCGAUGAAGGACGUUACUAACGACGAUAUGCUUUGGGGAGCUGUAAGUAAGCUUUGAUCCAGAGAUUUCCGAAUGGGGAAACCCAGCAUGAGUUAUGUCAUGUUAUCGAUAUGUGAAUACAUAGCAUAUCAGAAGGCACACCCGGAGAACUGAAACAUCUUAGUACCCGGAGGAAGAGAAAGAAAAUUCGAUUCCCUUAGUAGCGGCGAGCGAAACGGGAAGAGCCCAAACCAACAAGCUUGCUUGUUGGGGUUGUAGGACACUCUAUACGGAGUUACAAAGGACGACAUUAGACGAAUCAUCUGGAAAGAUGAAUCAAAGAAGGUAAUAAUCCUGUAGUCGAAAAUGUUGUCUCUCUUGAGUGGAUCCUGAGUACGACGGAGCACGUGAAAUUCCGUCGGAAUCUGGGAGGACCAUCUCCUAAGGCUAAAUACUCUCUAGUGACCGAUAGUGAACCAGUACCGUGAGGGAAAGGUGAAAAGCACCCCGGAAGGGGAGUGAAAUAGAACCUGAAACCGUGUGCUUACAAGUAGUCAGAGCCCGUUAAUGGGUGAUGGCGUGCCUUUUGUAGAAUGAACCGGCGAGUUACGAUUUGAUGCAAGGUUAAGCAGUAAAUGUGGAGCCGUAGCGAAAGCGAGUCUGAAUAGGGCGUUUAGUAUUUGGUCGUAGACCCGAAACCAGGUGAUCUACCCUUGGUCAGGUUGAAGUUCAGGUAACACUGAAUGGAGGACCGAACCGACUUACGUUGAAAAGUGAGCGGAUGAACUGAGGGUAGCGGAGAAAUUCCAAUCGAACCUGGAGAUAGCUGGUUCUCUCCGAAAUAGCUUUAGGGCUAGCCUCAAGUGAUGAUUAUUGGAGGUAGAGCACUGUUUGGACGAGGGGCCCCUCUCGGGUUACCGAAUUCAGACAAACUCCGAAUGCCAAUU
rnacentral:rRNA from 1 species